rnacentral:rRNA from 1 species
UACGUAGGCAGCAAGCGUUGUUCGGAGUUACUGGGCGUAAAGGGUGUGUAGGCGGCUUUUUAAGUUUGGUGUGAAAUCUCCCGGCUCAACCGGGAGGAUGCGCCGAAUACUGAGAGGCUAGAGUGCGGGAGAGGAAAGUGGAAUUCCCGGUGUAGCGGUGAAAUGCGUAGAUAUCAGGAGGAAUACCGAUGGCGAAGGCAGGUCUCUGGGCUGACACUGACGCUCAUGCACGAAAGCGUGGGGAGCAAACAGG